AUACCCUAUUAUUUUUAAUGUAAAAUUUUAAAGCUAGAGUAUUAAUAGUUAUGAUCUUUAAACUUAAAGAAUUUGGCGGUAUUAUAGUCUAUUUAGAGGAAUCUGUUAUGUAAUCGAUAGACCACGUUGAACCUUACUUAUAUAAUUUUUUUGUAUAUCGUUGUUUAAGUGAAUAUUUUUAGAUUAAUUUUCUUAAUAUAUAAAUAAUUAGAAUUUCAAAUCAAGGUGCAGUAAUAUAUAAGUUGAGUAAUGGAUUACAAUAAAUUAUAUUUAAAUGAAUAAUUAUUGGAAUAAUAAUUUGAAGGUGGAUUUAAUAGUAAUCUUAUAAAGAUUAAUAAGUUGAUUUAAGCUCUAUAAUAUGUACACAUCGC
rnacentral:rRNA from 1 species